AAAUUGAAGAGUUUGAUCAUGGCUCAGAUUGAACGCUGGCGGCAGGCCUAACACAUGCAAGUCGAACGGUAACAGGAAGCAGCUUGCUGCUUUGCUGACGAGUGGCGGACGGGUGAGUAAUGUCUGGGAAACUGCCUGAUGGAGGGGGAUAACUACUGGAAACGGUGGCUAAUACCGCAUAACGUCGCAAGACCAAAGAGGGGGACCUUCGGGCCUCUUGCCAUCAGAUGUGCCCAGAUGGGAUUAGCUUGUUGGUGAGGUAACGGCUCACCAAGGCGACGAUCCCUAGCUGGUCUGAGAGGAUGACCAGCCACACUGGAACUGAGACACGGUCCAGACUCCUACGGGAGGCAGCAGUGGGGAAUAUUGCACAAUGGGCGCAAGCCUGAUGCAGCCAUGCCGCGUGUAUGAAGAAGGCCUUCGGGUUGUAAAGUACUUUCAGCGGGGAGGAAGGUGUU
rnacentral:rRNA from 4 species